rnacentral:rRNA from 1 species
AAGGAAUUCAUGAAGUGCGGGCCCUCUGGGUCCAACCUCCCCACCCGAUGAUAUACCGUACCUUGUUUGCUUCGGCGGGCCCGCCAGCCUGGCCGCCGGGGGGCACCUGCCCCCGGGCCCGCGCCCGCCGAAGACAUCAUUGAACGCUGUCUGAAGAUUGCAGUCUGAGCGAUACGCAUAAAUUAGUUAAAACUUUCAACAACGGAUCUCUUGGUUCCGGCAUCGAUGAAGAACGCAGCGAAAUGCGAUAAGUAAUGUGAAUUGCAGAAUUCAGUGAAUCAUCGAGUCUUUGAACGCACAUUGCGCCCCCUGGUAUUCCGGGGGGCAUGCCUGUCCGAGCGUCAUUGCUGCCCUCAAGCCCGGCUUGUGUGUUGGGCGCCGUCCCCCCGGGGACGGGCCCGAAAGGCAGCGGCGGCACCGCGUCCGGUCCUCGAGCGUAUGGGGCUCUGUCACCCGCUCUGCAGGCCCGGCCGGCGCCAACCGACCCCCUCAACCCCUUUUUUUCAGGUUGACCUCAGAUCAAGUAGGGAUACCCGCUGAACUUAAGCAUAUCAUUAAAGCGGAGGAAA